rnacentral:piRNA from 1 species
UGCCAGGGGAAAUGUUACCUAUGACUUGA